rnacentral:tRNA from 1 species
GCAGUGAUUGUAUAGUGGUUAGUACUCUGCAUUGUGGCCGCAACCACUCCGGUUCGAAUCCGGUUCGCGGCA